CGGAUGCUACCUGCUGGCGCUCGGCACCCCGGCGCGAGCGUGCGCGUCUUUCCCGGCGAGGUCCCUACGCGGCGCGGCCGGGCCAGGCCCAGUGGCACGGAUGGUUCCAUGCAGGCGAUCUUGACAGCAGUCAUCAUACCAAGCUAUUAUGAAGUGUGAUGUCAGUUUGGAGGACGGAUAAUAUAUGUCAGUUCUUGACACUCUUAUCUUACAAGGAAACAUCUGAGACCAUCAGUUGUAUCUCCUUUCCCUUACCUGCUAUUUGCCUGCCUUCACUGAAGCAAGCGCCCUGGAUGCAGAUACUCCUAGUCUUUGGCAAAAUUUGGAAGCGUCUCCUCCAGCUGUCUGUCCAGAAGUUGCAACUGCCUGCUCAGGAAUCUAAUUCUUUUGUUUACAGAAUUCAAAGAGAACCUCCUAUUUUGCGAAAGACUGAUGUUAGUUGUAGGAUACCUGAAUCUAAAUGAUGUCUAUGUCUUCAGCCUCUGAGCUUCUAGAAAAUAGGUGUAGAGCUACUGAGACCUGUUUUCUACAAGUCAAGUAUUGAGAAUGAGAAGUUGAGGUGGAGGGGAUGUUCUCUGUAUGCAUUGAGACCAGGACCAGUUAGCACAUUAAUCUUAAACUGGUUCUUUACUCUUUACAGUUACGUAUUGUUACUGACCUUUUCCCCCUGGGGAUAAUGGGAGAAAAGCUCUGUCUUUUCUGUAUAUUUUACCCCUUAUCUCAUGUUCCAUAGAAAUUUUUGCUGUCUGCAAAUGCCUGCUUCUCUCACUGCAGCAGUAGUGUGUGGGUAUUAGUUUCAAAGUGGGAAAUGUUUUUUUCAGGCUGAUCCCAAGGAGGAAGUCUCUCUUAGCAUCUUAAAUCCAAUUCGUGUUAAUUUCCUCAUCCCAGUGAGGUUUGGAACAAAUGACAGGACAAUAGAAAAACAGCUUACCCCAAACCUAUGGCCAAAGGAAAAGGGAAAAUCCACUGUCAAAAGGUUUUCUUCUCAAAUUUCUCCUUAAUUUUAGAAACAGUCUUAUAGGCUGGGUUGCAUGUAGACAGUCAUAGGCUAUAUAAAAGAUCUACAGAUUGAUCACACUUUGCCUGCUCUGAAAUCAGAUUUACUAUAGUAUUGCAAUUACGAUUAAAAGGGAAGUUACAUGUGUGGUUUCCACACUGCAUGUGAUACACUGCAGAUCCUCCGUGAAUUUGCUUGCCACAAGGAAAUCCUGGCAUGAGUAGUAUAUGAGGCAUAUUUUACACUCAAUUUAGAAUAUUGUACUUCCUGAUUUCCAGGAGUUUGAAACCCAUUUUGCAUUGAAUUUCUAGGUUUUCAUGAAAUGAAGUAAUAAACCUCACCAACUGAUUUUCUGUGGAAGAAAGAAAUGUGAUGUUUGCGCCUUCUCUUGUCCAGGAGGACAGAGCUCUCACUACUACAGUUGGGCUAUUUCCCACUCCACGCUUGUGUACGCAGGAGUCCUGUCUAACCCACAAGACUCUGCCAGGAACACUGUCACCCACCCCAGAGCAGAAGACAUCUGCAGGGGCUCGUGUUGGUUGAGGCUCUGAAUCAUAGAACUGCAGGCAUCUAGAGUUUUCCUAAACCUGGAUUGGAGAGCCAUUUGCAGCAUAUAGUCCUGUGCUGCUUCAAAGCCACAGACCUUGUACACAUGCACAUUCCUAGCAGAGGUGGAAGUCUUGGCAACUGUUGAACAAAGAUUUUAAAAUUUAAAAACAAACAUACCGUGUUCGGGGUGAAAAUUACCCACACUGACAAUGCUCUUUCCUGCCACAGUCUCAGUGCCACCAGGCAGCCUCAUCAGUCUGGUGUUUCACAGAAAAUAUACUUAAUUACAGAUGAGCUACUGGGUGGCUGUGUAUAACAAUCUUUUUUCUUAAUCAGUUUUAUGAAAACAAAAAAACUAUCCCACCUUAGAAGAAAAUAUUGAACCUAAAACUUUCAGAUAUUUGAAAACAUAUGGGUAUAUUCUGCCUCAUGAUUAUAAAAAUGCUCAAGUAUAUAAUAGUAAUUGUUUUUUUAGAUGUGCCUUAACAAGGCAGAGAUGGGCAGGCAGUAUGGUAUUUUGGAAAGAAAUUCCAUUUUUUAGAAUAAGUCAUUUCUUAAAUGACUUAAGACAAAAUGAACUUUGAAAAUUUUGAUUGACAAUCCUUAAGUUUAAAUUACCAAUAAAAUACCACCUGAAUCUUAA